rnacentral:snoRNA from 1 species
GUGCAGACCUUUCCAGCGAGGCUUAGCCCGCAGUGGCUCUGUUCUUUCCUGUUGUGUCUGCUAGAGAGAUGUGAGGCUGUUUGAGGCCCUGCUAUGACUCUACAUGGCGGGGUUAUAGGUAAACCUCCAACAUUG